GAUGAACGCUGGCGGCGUGCUUAACACAUGCAAGUCGAGCGAAAAUAAUUGAGAGCUUGCUUUUGAUUAUUUUAGCGGCGGACGGGUGAGUAACGUGUGGGCAACCUACCUUUUACUGUGGAAUAAUCGUUGGAAACGACGACUAAUACCGCAUACGGUUCUUGGAAGGCAUCUUCUAAGAAAGAAAGGAGUAAUUCGGUAAAAGAUGGGCCCGCAUCUGAUUAGCUAGUUGGUGAGAUAAUAGCCCACCAAGGCAACGAUCAGUAGCCGACCUGAGAGGGUGACCGGCCACAUUGGGACUGAGACACGGCCCAA
rnacentral:rRNA from 1 species